CUGGAAGAAUGGGUUUCAGAGUGCUGUUGGUACCAUCUCCAGCCUUCACUACACUGUCAGUUUAAUCAGCCUGAACUCUGAACCUCGUGGUGAUCAACACCAUGUCAAAUGUCACAAAAGUUAGAGAGUGUUGCCAUUUUUUUUUUCCUGGACAACUGAGUUUUCUGGACAGUAAAAAACUUGGAGGUGACAGGCACAUGCAUCGAUUUAGAAUAUAACUGUGGCGUACUCAUUUUGACUGAAAAUGAAAUCAUUGCAUUAUGGAGAAAUUGUGUGAUAUGCCAGAUGAGAUUAUUCAAAAAUCAAUUAUAGGUUUUCAAAACGAACCACCUCCGCAAGACUUGAGUCUGGCAGUUCUAGACCUGAUUUGGCCUUUAAAAAGUAAAAUACAUUAUUAAACAAUUGAAGUAAUUUUUUGACUCUAUUUUCAUUUGUCUUAGCAACGUGUAUCCAUGGACAGCGUCUGUCAGUCCACCACUUCUGUCCAGACUGAAAUAUUUCAACAUAAAAUUUUGUACAGACGUGUAUGUUUCUUGCGGAUUUUGGUCAUUCGCUGAGUUGAUGCCGAGCUCCUAGUCACGCCAGAUAAACGGCUUAAAUCAGCAAAUGUUGUUGUGUAUUUGUAGCAGUUUUAUUAUCACGUGACAAAAUAUAUUAUUUAAUAGUGUGAAUGCUGAAUUUUAUUUUGACGUAACUGGCAGCGAUGGUACAUUCACAGCCAUUGUAUAGUCAUGUCUGCAGUUCGUCUUUUCACCAAAUGAGAUAAAAAAUGUCAGCAGGGUCAGAAAUCCCUAUUAACUCUGACCUUGAAUUAUGAGUUGGAGGCUGUCAUGAACAUUUUUCUUCUUGCUCAGCUGCUUGUAGUCACGGUUGAAAUAGUAUGCAGUGACGGUGGCGUAACUGCAUCCUCACAGAUCUGGUGGUGUGACUGUAAACUCUUAGUGGUUGUUUUUUUUAUUUGAAGGAUUUUUCAAGGCCCGAAGAGAGAGUCAGUGGUUUGCAAUAUUAUUUGGUUAAAAUGGACCAAAAUAACAUAAACAGGAUGUAGAGCAGCUUUUCGAGGGGUUUCUGUUAACUAGGUCUUAUUCUGAUGACUACACAGAGGAGGUUGGAACCGAAGGUGCUUUGAGCAGUCACAGGGGGACAAGACAGACGCCACGGUUGACUGAGUGUGAAGCUUUUCUCUUCACUCAUGAAAUAAUAGAUAACUUGGUUUCUACAUUAGGUGGCACAGGGCCAAAUCCUAAUUGUUCAAGAGCUAACUUAAAUAAGCAGAGAAUAUUUAGAGGAAGCCCCUGUGGGACCUUUCCUAUCAAAGUUCAUGUUUACAGUAAAAACAGUUUAUAUACUCAUUGUGAGACUGGAUCUUAUCACGACGAGCUGACAGCAGUGACAGGUCUUUGUGAUUUUCAUCUUUUUCUCAAAGAAUAGUUUAUUUUGUCAUUUUAUUUCUCCUCAGUCUGCUCUUGAAGUAUCCCGGGCACUGUUCGACCGCGUCGUCUUUCUCUCUCGUAUCUAAAUUCCGGGCAGGAUGAGAUGUGUCACUGUGCCUCUCACAUUGACAAUGAUCCCAUUUAGCUCCCUCGCAGCGGAGCCACACCAACAUCGAUCUGUGUGUGUGAGGUAAAAAGGAAAUGUGCUGAUUCCUCGCGCAGCUCAGUUAUACAUUAACGGUUAGCCAAAAAAAAGAAAUAAAAGGAGCUUAUAGACUUGGACAGAUAACCUGCUACUGCAGCCGUCAGACCAGGCAAAUGAAUUGCUGACAGAAAAAAUCAUCUUGACACUAAAGGUCAUUGUAGCUACUGUCACAUUUUCGUGUUGUUGGUGCCUUUAUGGCCGAAAUAAAAACCUAUUGGUGUCGGGUAGUAGCAGGAGAGCGAGAGAGAGGGAGAGGAGAUUUCACUUUAUUUCAUAUUAUGUCUUUAAAAAUAUAUUGUUGAAGAGGAGGAAAUUAAUUUCAAAACACAUGCAUUUUUAGAUUUGAGUAUUGGCAGUUCAGUUGUUAUAUGAACAUAAGUACCCUCAUCUUUAACUGAACUACAGGUAGCAAAGUAAGAAACUAUACUGUAUAAAAUAUAAAAAUAGUUAUGGUGUGAAAUGUCUCCAUACAAAAGAUAAACAACUGUCAAAUAACUUUUUUAUAGUCUAGCAAAUUGUCACUCUUGCAGCCUAUCAUAAUUUAUAUAUCAAAAAUAAUGUAGUCAUUAUGUCAAAAAAUAUGAAGCCAUUUGUUACAACUUUUAGACAAAUGUUCAUUUUAAGUAUGUACGUAAAAGAUUUUGCAGUUUAAUAGAAGUAUCUUGUAGGUGGUUGGGGAGGAGCUAAUCCUCUGAUAUGCACUCUAGUAAAGUCAAUUAUUACAGAAUUUGAGGUACUUUUAAAAGUUUGUCGUAAAACAUUUGAGUAAAUGUUACUUUCUAUCACUGAAAUCUUUUGAAAGAGCAGCCUAAAAGUGCUGUAUGCAUGUUUAUAGACCAGUGGGUGCAUGUGCCUUUGUGAGCAUUCUUUCACUUUUGCGUCCAUGCAUUUUGUUGUGUAAUUCUGUGUCGCUCUGUGCAGUGUGUUUGUUCUGCAGGGUUUCAGUCCGAACGUUCCACCUCUCCCGGCUGCUAAUGGCAGGCGUGCAUGCCUGUGCAUUAAUCAGGGUGCUGUGAACCCGCCGUUUAAUCGCAGAGGAAGCCGAGCAAGUAAUUACUUCUGAAUCUCUAAUUGCACAGACAAGGAGAAAGAAAAACACCGGGCAGGGAGGGAGCCAUGGAUGGAGAUCAAAAUCUCAUGCGGCCGGCUCCCGGCUCCUGGAUGCACCUCUGUCCCCGUGUGUCCCACUGAUCUAGUUUGGAACAUCUGGAUCGGGUGUCACCGGCUACACGUAAAUCCCUCACGAAACUCAGAUGACGACAAACAGCCGUCUCCGGUCCCUGAGCGGAGGAGAUGAGCGGCAGGAGAAUUGAGGUCAGGUUUAAGGUCCAGCUCAGUCUGUGGAACGGUACAUGGCCGCUGGAUCCUGAAACUCACGCACACGCCAUGUGGCCCCUUGUCCUUUUUUUCCAGUCACUUUUCAAAUGUUCCGGUCUGUGGGGUGAGGACAGAGAGGUCACAACAGGAACCCCUUGCGACCCCUUAUAUGGCCCCAACCCCAGCUCUGACUCAAGCCUUGGGCCAGCAUUGUGGCGGACUAUAAUAACAUAUGAUGUGUGUGUAUUUUAGAGACCUCUCCAUCAAAGGAUCAUGCAGGUGUUGUUUUAUAUUUUUCAUAUUGUCUACGAAUUCAUCAUGAUUGUGAGAAUUGAUCAUGACUUAAGAGUAUUACAGAUGUGACAGUGUUUGAUGCAACAGACGAUACAAUGGUCUGCCUUUACACCCAUGAAGAGACUACCGAAAUGUAUUAGUGGCUUUCACAGCAUCAUGACAUAAUUUUUUUUUUAAGUCAUAAAUCUUAAAAAACUUCUUAAGCAACGUUGAUAGUUAUUUGGCGGACAGAAUAUGAAUCAAUUGAAUGUUCAAUCAAUUUGAUUUCAGGUAUCAUAUUAGCUCAGGAUAAGACACUGUAAAGAAAAAGAAUACAUCUUUUCAUUACUCAACAUCAGGUUCUGGCCUGAUGUGUGAAUUUUGUAUGAAAAUGAGAGAAGAUUUCUCUGAAAUCACUCACAUGUGCCGCUAAAGGAACAAAUCAGUCUGCGCGGCUUGUUCUUGCAUGAGGCCCAGUGAGUCUUCACAGCAGCAGGACAGUGUCCAGUAUAUGUCUGAGAUACAGGAAGGUGCCAUCCAAUUCAUGUGUUUCUAAUUCACGUGUUUGUAAAGGUCUGUGGACAAUAAGUGAGCCCUAUGCCACAAUGAAAUACAGAUAAUGCUUGUUAGUACAAUAUCACCAGCCUUAUUCUUUAAUUCAGUACAACUCAAAGUCAUUGCAUUGCUGGUCCUGUGCCUGGUCCGACUGCAGGUGGACAGAUGGGUACAGGCACAGGUGAGACCGUCCAUGGGCAGUCUCACCCCACGGGUGACCAAUCAGGGAUGGUCCCUGUCCCUGGUUGCUCAACCUAUGUGUCACUGAUCUGUGUGAGAGCGUAAUGGGCUGUGCGUGUUCCUCUCCACACUCCAGUGCACAGGACGGUUUCACAACAGGCGUGACGGCCUGUGUCCCGGAUAAACUUUCUUUGCUGCUUGUUAUUAUUUGUCGUUAAUGGUUGACAGAUUUUAAAUCGAGACGUGUGAAAGUGCUAGAAAAUUGUAUGGCAAAGUGACAAGACGUACAUAAGAGUUUGUGUGUGCAUGUCUGUUGAUACCAGUGUAAUUUGGUCAAAAAAUGGAUUUCACAAAUCAACACUGGACUUGCAGAAAUUUUUGGAAUUGGCAUAAUUUAGCAACACUCCAAUGAAUAUGAAUAUUUUUUAAAUAAAAUUCCGCCUCACAUGUAUUUUAGAUGUUAUUUACCUUUGACAAUCUAUCUUCAGUUUCAAACCGGCGUCUGACUCUGAAUUCUGUACGAUUGUGUCAAAAAUCUUUGGUGUACGACAACAAAUGACCCAAUUUAUUCUGUUAUUGAGAAAAUCCGUGGGUUUCUUCGGGCUUUUCACCACAGUGGUGCGGAGAUUAGAGAGCAGUGUAAUAAUUAGACCCAAAUCUGCCGCAGCAGACUUUUAGAUAAGAGGAACAACUAUCAGGUCUUUGGUGAUGUUGGAACAAUAUUAAUAUGCAUAAAUGAAACACAUAAAGUGUUUCCUGGACACAACAGUGACUUAUUAAGGAUUUUAUCUCCUCCUGUUCUUUCACCGGGGCAUUUGAGUUGUAAUAUUCAUAUAUUUAUACUCUCCUAAAAGUUACAUUAGGGUUUUCAUAAUCAUCUUCAGCUAGUCUAAACUUGUACUAAUGAAACUUGUUGGGUUUAAUGAAGUUGCUUCAGCACAAAUAUGUUUAAGGCUCCAGCACUAAUCAGUUUAAGGCAAUCCUGUGUAUUACUAAUGAUCAACCACAUUGAUACUACACUAAAAGAUUACACACCCGACCAAUAAUUGGCCAAAUAUCUUGUUGCAAAGCGUCAUACAUGUUCACAGUGGAGGUCAGCUGCUUCAGGAAGUCGUGUUUGCAGAGAGAUGAUUUGAUCUGAGUUGGAUCGGUUUCAUUCGCAGCAGUGAUCUAUAACGGAGAACUUACAGUAACCUUGAGUUAUGGGCUUCUGCACCAAACAUUUAUCGACAUCAUGUGGUCUGUAGAUGAAAACAACGACAUACAAGGUAGUUCAAAUCAGUUCUGCCACUUUAUUUUGCAGGUCAUUAGUCUAAUUGAGUUUUUGUGUUGGGGUCUGUCAUUGGUUUGCAGAGAAACUUCCAUGACUUAAAAUUUGAAUGAAUGAUGUGAACAGCCCAUUGAUUUUCUUAUGAUUAAAACUAAAACAAAAUUUAUUUUCAGGAAACUUAAGAUGAAUUUGCUUUCUACAGGAAGCAGUGGGACAUCUGAAAUAAAGUGUAACUAAAAUAGCUGCACCUCAACCAAAUACAACAGUGAAACUCUACUAACACAUUUAUGCAUGAGAAGUUUUUUUAAAACUAUGUGAUUUGUUUAUAUACAUUGAG